UUCUACCCAAGAACAGGAAUAUUCAUCUAGACCAAUUUCUUUUAGUUUGAAGACUAACCUAUUGUGAGGAACCGUAUCAAAUGCCUUGGCAAAGUCCAAGUAGAUCACAUCCACUGCAACACCCUGAUCUAUACUUCUACUUACUUCUUCAUAGAAUGCAAUUAGGUUAGUUUGACAUGACCUAUGUUUCAUAAAACCAUG